rnacentral:rRNA from 1 species
AUUGAAAGCUGGCGGCAGGCCUAACACAUGCAAUUCGAGCUAGCUGCGGACGGGGGAGUAAUGUAUGGGGACGGCCCGAUAGAGGGGGAUAACUACUGGAAACGGUGGCUAAUACCGCAUACUAUCCGAUAACCCAUAUGGGAUUGGCUAGUCGGUGGGGUAAGAGACCACCUAGGUGACGAUCGCUAGCUGGUCUUAGAGGAAGAUCAGGCACACUGGGACGGAGACAGGGCCCAGACUCCUUCGGAGGCAGAAGUGGGGAAUAUUGCACAAUGGGAGCAAGAAUAGUGAAGCCAUGCCGAGUGGAUGAAGAAGGCUUUAGGGUGGUAAAGUACGUUCAGCGGGGAAGCGGUACACGCAGAAGAAGCUACGGCUGACUCCGUACCAGCAGCCGCGGUAAUAC